GCCCCCCUUCCACUCCGGUCUCUCAAGAAGGAGAAUCCUCGAGCCCCUCUUCCACUCCGGUCUCUCAAGAAGGAGAAUCCACGAGGCCCCCUUCUACUCCGGUCUCUCAAGAUUCAGACCCCACAAGCCCCCCUUCCACUCCGGUCUCUCAAGAAGCAGAAUCCACGAGGCCCCCUUCCACUCCGCUCUCUCAAGAUAACAUGGCAACAGCAAGGGUCAAACUAAAUGUACCCAAAGGAGUGAAUCUUGAGGACCCCAAAGUGUACGAAGCCAUUUUAGAGCAGAUCCGGGAGCACCUCUCCAAGAACUUUCCAAUGGACGGUGUUAAUCUGCGCUGGAGAAGACAAGACGGAGAGAUAUUCCACAAGGAGGAAGAGGAGGAGGAGGAGGAGAAGGAGAAGUACUUCGAGCCGUGAGAUACCAGCACCCACAAUGACAAGCGAGGGCUUUCAGCGAUAGAGCCGUCGAUGCGGGCUCUGCCGUGUGGUAGAUGACUGCAUCUGGAGUUUUGAGUCCUGAGCUGAGGGUGCUAAUGAAAGUCAAGGUCAUCUACCACACGGUACAGCCCACAUCAAGAGGGCUCUAUCACUAUUAAAACAUGAUUUAAUUCUUUAUUUUCUCUUAAAAAAAAAACAACAACUUUAAAACCUAUAUUUACGUUGAACUUCUGAUAUUUCGGCAGAUAACCUUCCGCUGAGGAAGAUAGUCCCUAACAUAAUUAGAAUAGAAAAAUGACAUGCGCGUAGAUAAAACCGUUAUUAUCAUUAUUAUUAUUAUGACAUUGCCAGAUAAAUUAACUGUAGGCUUGUUGAAUAGUCUGUGUAGUAUUGAGGCAGACUCAAAACUUGUUAGAGGCGGGGCGUCAUUCAAGCUGGCAGGGAGUGGAUUGGCUGCUGUGGAAAGAACUGAAGCAGGGUUGGCAGUUUAACUGGCUGGUUUUGAUGGAGGGUGUUGUUUGGAUCCAGCUGAUGACAGAAUUGUGGACCAGUCGUGUCUUUCCUGUUGAUUUUCUGUGAAUUGAGCCUUCAUUACGCUGUCCUGUCACACACAUGAUUUUGCUUGUCUCUAGACCAACGUCAGAAAGUGUGUUUAAGUAGUUUUUUAUGUUAUCAGAUUAGUUGUAGAUUAGAGGGUUAAGGGAGAAAGCUGGUAUUUAUCCACAGAUUGAUUUAAAAUGUAAUUCACAGCUGAGCACUUCAACGUUGCAACAUUCCGGAAGCCCGCUAGAUCUGGAAGCUGAUUGGCUGUUCGCACUCAAUUUUCUGCUGGUUAAUAUUCAUCUGACAUUAUCUACUGGUGUUUUUUUUUUUUUUUAAUUUUAUGAUAAUUUAAAUAUAUAUUCAAUUAUUUACUGGUGCUGCACAUUUAUAGUAAGUUGAUAGUGAGUGUGUGUUUUAAUGUAAUGAUAAUUUAAAUAUAUAUUCAGGGCUUCGGAUUUUCAGUUUUAACCCCUGAUACAAAAAGAUUUAAUCGGUUAACAGACAAUAAACACCAGAAAAACUGUGGAAAUGGUUAAUCUAUGCAUGUUGACUGUACCCUUUUCACAUUUAAAAAAAUCAAACCCUGUGAAUACAUUUCACAGGGCUGCUGGGCAAUGUCCUGCCUUCCUGACUUGUGUCUAUCAUUGAUUCGUUCUGAAUACUUUAAACCCACCCCAACUACUGAGUGACAGCACAUUCCUACAUUUCUAUUGGAGACUCCGCUGGCGAGAUUUAAAACGAGAUUACACUCAGGAUGGAAGCUUGUUAGCGGGAUUUCAAGCUGUAUUACAGUUAAGAUACGGAGGAUUUAAAACUGAAUUGUGACAAUGUACAUAAAUUCCUACACACAAACCCCAGAAGAAUGUUGAUGUGACCUCAGGGAUUUCGUUGUGGAAGACAGCAAAGGAAAGAAGGUACAACUUAAGUGUGCAAGUGCUGUCGAGUUACUGCUAUACAUAUUGUCACACACACACAAAAAAGCAUUUUGGAAAGUAACCAAAAACACUAAUUUCAUACAGAAUAUCAAAAACGAAAGCCCCGAAAAAAAAACGAUUAACAUAAAACUCGAAUAGCUAAAAAUUAGCACCGAAAAAUACAAUUAAUAAAACCCGAAAAACAGAAGCCCUAAAUAUAUUCAAUUAUUUACUGGUGCAGCACAUGUUUAUAUUAAGGUGAUGGGGUGUGUGUUUUUAAUUUAAUGAUAAUUUAAAUAUAUGUUCAAUUAUUUACUGGUGCAGCACAUAUUUAUAUUAAGGUGAUGGGGGGUGUGUGUUUUAGUUUAAUGAUAAUUUAAAUAUAUGUUCAAUUAUUUACUGGUGCAGCACAUAUUUAUAUUAAGGUGAGGUGUGUGUGUUUUAAUGUAGUAAAUGAUUCUAAUAGAGGUUACAUUAGUUACUGGUGCAAGUUUCUUUUAGCUUGUAAAGAAUAUAUUCAGAGUGGUAACAGAGUAAUAGGCCUCUUCCCCAUGGCAUGGCAGAGCAUGGAUUCACAGAAUGAAUGUACAAUUUGCAGUGUACUAUUAAAUCCUAUAGAGGGCACCACAAACACAUUUACUGAGGGAGGAAGGGAGCAAGCUCCUGUAUAAUUAUACAAUCACCUGGAAGGUCUUGAUGCUGCAGUACAUUACAAACAGCAGCCAGGAUACAGGUGUUGAAUUGCUUAUCAGGAGGACAGGGCUAAGGUAGAUGGCAGAUGAAGGACAGUUCUCUUUUUCACAUGAUCCUCCAGUGCAAUGACAUGGGCAGCUCUAGCCUGGGUCACUCUGAGUCUCUGUCUGGGUAAGUGAGACGAGUUGUCCUAGUGCAGCUCAGCAAGCUGGUCUCUUCCAGUCCAGGUCUGCGUUCCAACCAUGGCUGCGUUUCUACCUGGAGGAAAAGCCCUCCAGGACUGGAGCCUGUCGCAAUCCAAGUGAAGCUGCAGCAUAUACUAGCACUGUGGCGCCCCCUAUGGUCUUUAAAUAGGUCUGCAUUAUCACACAGAAAUAUAUGUGCAGUCUGCAGGGUGCAAUGCAACAUGGGGUGAAGUCAUUAAGGCUAUGAGUAGGGUGGUUUGCUACAGCUUAUGAUUUCAAUGGAAAUGUCUUAUUUUUUCUGAUAUUUAAUUUACAUUACUGUAAAAAACAUAAAAAUAACAGGGUCACUGACUCAGUUUUAUUUCCCAUUAUAGUGUAUGGGGAGCAGGGGAGGGGACCCAGAUCCAUGCAUUCAUGAAACAUGUUCCUCUCAUGCAAACACAUAGAAAUCACACGAGCUGUACCAAAGAAUAUGUGCGAUUCAUGUCAUUGUAUUGUAUGAAGGGUUGUGCAUCACAACGAUACUCUACUACUCUGUAUUUCUGAAUGUAUUUUUGCUGAUUUAUUUCAAUAAAGUUUCAAUCUCAA